UCUAAAGAAUGUCUUAAGGGGAGUUCCGAAACUAAAACGAAACAAAACGUCUCUUUUUGCUAGCCAUCCGCUAAUUCUAAUCGGGCCUUGGCACAGGCAGCCAUAUUUCCCAUUUGCUAUCACUCAUCUUUUAGCAUUAUGAAGGCACAGCUCUUUUCUCACGUUUUCCUCAAGUAUCAUUGGAUAUGGCUAAUCUCUGCUUAGGAUGUCCUAGAAGUUAAUCAGCUCAACAACAGAAUCCCAGAACUGUGGGAACAUGGCAGCACAAUUCCAAUCUCUGCUGUAUGUACAUGAUGCAUAUAGAAGGGCCUUACAAAUGUUCUUCACCUGACAUACAACAAUUUUUUGUAUCACCUUUGCACCAAGGACAUCUUCUCUACUCUGGAAGUCAUUUUUAAUCCAUGUAGCGCAGCAUCUCUAAAUGUUCUUUUGACAAACUCACUUGAAAACUUUUCCUCCUUGCCUUUCUAUUUUGGCAAGCAUUCCAGCAGUUGUUAAGAGAACCUAUUUUCCACAACGGACCUUUUUUUUUUCUGCAGAAACUAUAAGUUACGGUAAAUACUGGUUUCUGGCAAAAAAAAUAUGGAAAAUCACCGCCACAUGACUGCAGGAUGCUGCAAACAAUGUGGGCUGGUUGCAGAGUACAAAAAUGCAAUCAUCAUGUGACUGCACAUGGUGGCUGACCAUCAGAACUUCAAAUGCAGAUUGUAAGUACCUUUUGGAGGGUUCAUUAUAACUUUGAACUUGUCAUAAGUCAAGGACUACUAGAAUGCUUAAUGAAUAGAAAUCCACUCUAACAAAUACAAAACUUAAAUUUGGCAAAAUGGUUACUCAUCCAAGUUAUAUUAACCAUUAAAAUUUAAAUUGAAUUUUGAUACUACAGACCAUUGCAGGUGUAUAAUUUAGCAUAUUUUGUGUGAAUUAUAUUUGUACUAGGAAUUGUACAAUAUUAUAUUGUAUAUUCCUGUUUUUCUCUUUUCUGCUCAUAUUUCCGUAUUAAGCUUAUUUGUACCCUUUCAUCUUUAUUUGAUGUUCAAUCACUAAUGCUCUAAUCUGCUAUUCUAAAAAGACAUUGAUUAUUCCUAGGGGUUACCCAAAACAGGAACCUGACCAUAGUUUUGAGCCAAUCCAGAAAUGGAUACAAGACAUCAUAUAUAAUUUAGAAGACCUUAUCUUUACCAACACAUGUAGAUAUCAAGAUGACAGAAUUUCCAUAUGUUAAUACGUGACAAGGCAAAAACGUCCUCAGAUUCUCAGGUCUGCCCACAUCAGAAGAAAUCAAGAUGUAUCUUUAGAUUCCUUGUAUAAUUGCAAUGUACUUAUUAACAGAUAUGUAGCUAAGAAUUAUUUACUCUUAUUUAAUUUAGUGGGCAUGAAAAACUUCAAACUACAAAACUGCUGUUCUUGGUAAAGGGUGUAUCAAAGCAUUUUUAUAAUUAAAAUCUGUAACUGCUGGAGUGGUCAAAAUGUGCCUGAAAUUUUCAUUACUUUCAUUACUCUUGAAUCAGAGUGCAAAGCAACUUCCUGAAUCACAGAAGAGUAAGCCUGCACAGCUCUAAAAUCUGCACACUGAACAUGUUUGCUUUGAGGCUAAAGUGCAACCAAGUCAAAUAUGCAAUUAUCACCCACCUCGAUAUUAAAAAUAUCUGUACUUUUCGAAGCACAAAUAAAAGCAAAUACAAAGGCACACCAAAAUGGACAGUCAUUGUCUUCAUUACAGUCUAAAACACCCACUUUAAAAAAGACCAAACACAAGUAUAAUAUGUACACGGAUUGGAUUUUCAUAGGUUGUCUGUAAAAGCAUACCAUCUUCUUUCCCCAUUGUAAAAUAAGCACCAACCGUAGGGAAAAGAAGAAGGGAAGCAUAAAAAAAGCAGUCUGUCUCACACAGUUUAUUUAACAAUAGGUAAUAAGAAAUCAAUUAACAGUCUAUACAGUGAUCGAAAGUUCAUAUUUAUAAGUAAUCAACUUUAAUUGCAUGAUUUACAACAUUUGAGGGUUUUUUGCUUUCUAUUUUCAAGUUUUACAGAAAAUGGAAGAGGAGAAAAAGGGAAGGAAGGGAAAGAGAAAGCAAGCAUAAAGAAGAAACCCCAGGGAUUUUUGCUCAGGUUAAAAUUUGACCCUUGGAAUAGUUUCUUACCCUCUUUAGUUUUUUCCUUUGUUAGAUGUAAAAAUAACAAAAAAUCUUUCAGGAAAACAAACCACAAUAUAUAUACUACAUCCAUUUGGCAGCUGCCCCCAUAUAUUUGCAAAAAAGUUUUCUACAUGUACAAAUUUUAAUACUUGAAGUUUAAGCUCAGACUCUGGUAUAGAAAAUUCUUGGAGGACAAAAGUAGACUUCAGAGGGGAGACUGGAUUUCUUAAUAUUUUUUUUUUACAGUUUUUAAAAGAAUUGACAUCGUUCCAACCAAGGAAGAAAUUGGUAUUUAUCUUUAA